CCCCUGGUGGUCUAGUGGUUAGGGCUUGACACUUUCACCUCCAUGGCCUGGGUUCAAUCCCCAGUCUGGGAA
rnacentral:tRNA from 1 species